AGUGAACGCUGGCGGCAGGCUUAACACAUGCAAGUCGAACGCACCGCAAGGUGAGUGGCAGACGGGUGAGUAACGCGUGGGAACCUUCCCUUUGGUUCAGGAUAGCUCCGGGAAACUGGAAUUAAUACUGGAUAAGAUCUACGGAUGAAAGAUUUAUCGCCGAAGGAUGGGCCCGCGUAAGAUUAGCUAGUUGGUGAGGUAAUGGCUCACCAAGGCAAUGAUCUUUAGCUGGUCUGAGAGGAUGAUCAGCCACACUGGAACUGAGACACGGUCCAGACUCCUACGGGAGGCAGGAGUGAGGAAUAUUGGACAAUGGGCGCAAGCCUGAUCCAGCCAUGCCGCGUGAGUGAUGAAGGCCUUAGGGUUGUAAAACUCUUUUAGUAGGGAAAAUAAUGACUGUACCAUAAGAAUAAGGACUGACUAACUACGUGCCAGCAGCCGCGGUAA
rnacentral:rRNA from 1 species